AGUGUAGUGAUGCAUGGAGCGGACUAGUACUAAUAGGUCGAGGACUUAACCAAG
rnacentral:rRNA from 1 species